UCUACAGAGCAACGGGGUCAUUUGGACACA
rnacentral:piRNA from 1 species